rnacentral:tRNA from 1 species
GGGGGGAUACUCAAGUGGUCAACGAGGGCAGACUGUAAAUCUGCUGGCUUCGGCCUACGUCGGUUCGAGUCCGGCUCCCCCCACCA